rnacentral:rRNA from 1 species
AGAGUUUGAUCAUGGCUCAGAUUGAACGCUGGCGGUAGGCUUAACACAUGCAAGUCGUGCGAGAAAGUAUCUUCGGAUAUGAUUAGAGCGGCGGACGGGUGAGUAACGCGUAGGAAUCUACCUAGUAGAAGGGGAUAGCCCGAGGAAACUCGGAUUAAUACCGUAUACCUCCUUCGGGAGAAAGAAGGCCUCUCUUUGAAGCUUUCGCUACUAGAUGAGCCUGCGUAAGAUUAGCUUGUUGGUGAGGUAAAGGCUCACCAAGGCGACGAUCUUUAGCGGGUCUGAGAGGACGAUCCGCCACAUUGGGACUGAGACACGGCCCAGACUCCUACGGGAGGCAGCAGUGGGGAAUAUUGGACAAUGGGCGCAAGCCUGAUCCAGCCAUACCGCGUGUGUGAAGAAGGCCUUAGGGUUGUAAAGCACUUUAAGUUGGGAAGAAAGGUUAUUGGCUAAUACCCAAUAACUGUGACAUUACCAUCAGAAUAAGGACCGGCUAAUUCCGUGCCAGCAGCCGCGGUAAUACGGAAGGUCCAAGCGUUAAUCGGAAUUACUGGGCGUAAAGCGCGCGUAGGUGGUUUAUUAAGUUGGAUGUGAAAUCCCCGGGCUCAACCUGGGAACUGCAUUCAAAACUGGUUCACUAGAGUACGAUAGAGGGAGGUAGAAUUCACAGUGUAGCGGUGGAAUGCGUAGAUAUUGUGAAGAAUACCAAUGGCGAAGGCAGCCUCCUGGAUCUGUACUGACACUGAGGUGCGAAAGCGUGGGUAGCGAACAGGAUUAGAUACCCUGGUAGUCCACGCCGUAAACGAUGUCAACUAGCUGUUGGAAAGCACUGCUUUUCAGUGGCGCAGCUAACGUAGUAAGUUGACCGCCUGGGGAGUACGGCCGCAAGGUUAAAACUCAAAUGAAUUGACGGGGACCCGCACAAGCGGUGGAGCAUGUGGUUUAAUUCGAU